rnacentral:rRNA from 1 species
GAUCAUGGCUCAGGAUGAACGCUAGCGACAGGCUUAACACAUGCAAGUCGAGGGGCAGCACGGGAGUAGCAAUACUUGGUGGCGACCGGCGCACGGGUGAGUAACGCGUAUGCAACCUACCUAUCAGAGGGGAAUAACCCGGCGAAAGUCGGACUAAUACCGCAUAAACAGGGGCACCGCAUGGUGAUAUUUGUUAAAGAAAUUCGCUGAUAGAUGGGCAUGCGUUCCAUUAGGUAGUUGGUGAGGUAACGGCUCACCAAGCCGACGAUGGAUAGGGGAACUGAGAGGUUGGUCCCCCACACUGGUACUGAGACACGGACCAGACUCCUACGGGAGGCAGCAGUGAGGAAUAUUGGUCAAUGGGCGGGAGCCUGAACCAGCCAAGUCGCGUGAAGGAAGAAGGAUCUAUGGUUCGUAAACUUCUUUUGCAGGGGAAUAAAGUGCAGGACGUGUCCUGUUUUGUAUGUACCCUGAGAAUAAGGAUCGGCUAACUCCGUGCCAGCAGCGGC